CUCCAGACUCCUACGGGAGGCAGCAGUGGGGGAUAUUGCACAAUGGGGGAAACCCUGAUGCAGCGAUGCCGCGUGAAUGAAGACGGCCUUCGGGUUGUAAACCUCUGUCUUUGGGGAAGAAAAUGACGGUACCCAAAGAGGAAGCUCCGGCUAACUACGUGCCAGCAGCCGCGGUAAUACGUAGGGAGCGAGCGUUGUCCGGAAUUACUGGGUGUAAAGGGAGCGUAGGCGGGCGAGAAAGUUGAAUGUUAAAUCUACCGGCUUAACUGGUAGCUGCGUUCAAAACUUCUUGUCUUGAGUGAAGUAGAGGCAGGCGGAAUUCCUAGUGUAGCGGUGAAAUGCGUAGAUAUUAGGAGGAACACCAGUGGCGAAGGCGGCCUGCUGGGCUUUAACUGACGCUGAGGCUCGAAAGCGUGGGGAGCAAACAGGAUUAGAUACCCCUGUACU
rnacentral:rRNA from 1 species